rnacentral:rRNA from 1 species
UACGUAGGGGCCAGCGUUGUUCGGAAUUACUGGGUGUAAAGGGUUCGUAGGCGGUGCGGCAAGUUGGGAGUGAAAUCUCUGGGCUCAACCCAGAGACGGCUUCCAAAACUGCUGUGCUUGAGUGUGAGAGAGGCUCGUGGAGUUGCAGGUGUAGCGGUGAAAUGCGUAGAUAUCUGCAGGAACACCCGUGGCGAAAGCGGCGAGCUGGAUCACUACUGACGCUGAAGAACGAAAGCUAGGGGAGCAAACAGG